GCGACCGACCAUAGCUGCA
rnacentral:misc_RNA from 1 species